AUGUCGCUAACAUCACUGCGUCAAAUCUGUCAAUGACUAUAAAAAUUGUAAAAACCACCAACAACAGGAAAAUUGAUAUUAUUUUUGGGUUAUAACGAUUAAAAAUGUGCAUUAUCGACUUUAAAGCACCGUGGGGGGCCAUUUUCGUUUAAACUAUUAUGUAUAUGUCUUCGAGGUACCUUCUCCUCAAUUAUUUCAUGCUUGGGGUGAUUGUAAUUUUCACCGGGGGCUUACUUCUACAACUUUGUCGCUUGUAUAGUGUCCGGGAGAGUAUGCGAACGCUUGAUUCAUACGAUAACGAGGUGGAAAUUUUAAUCAAUCGGAUGAAACACAUCAAUAAAAUUUCACGGUAUAACUUUAAUUUGCUACAAAAAAUCGAGGAUGCUGUUCAUAACAGCACUAAAUACUCUGGGAAGCUACGGUGACGAUUUGUUAGAAAUAGAAGAAAAAUAACCUAAGAUAUUUUUGGUUUUUCGAUUUAGUUUUUUUGGUUAUGUUAUUUAAAAUGAGAAAGAGGCCAGUAGAUGCACAAAGAUAUAUUUUUAAUUUUUAGAAAGUAGGUAAAAAGAGUUCUAUUUAAUUAUUAAAAAAAAUAACUUAAUAGGCAACCAAUAUGGCGCAUGGGCUAAUUAAGUUGCCUAUUUAUUAAUUAUUUUAUUUAAAUAGAAGUUUCUUACACAAAGAAAAUAAUUUUUUAUACCGUGUAGGCAAUAAAAGAAACUGUUAAUUUUAAAAGUUUUUAUACAAACGUUGGUUAAUUUUUAUAGAUGUUUAUUACUGUGUUGAAUAAAAACUAACCUAAAAAUGU